ACCCCUUCCGUCCCUUCUCUGGUGAAGAGAGAUGUGACUCAUCUCUGCAGCUCUUUUGGAUGCAGAGGUCUGACUCUCUCUGACUCUAUAGUUACCAGGAAGGCUGUCUCCCCCAACCCUAGACAGUCAUGGGCCCUACUAGGCCAGUUAAACCUUGGAGUCAAACACAGUAGCAUUAGGAUUUAGCAAGGAAAGACAUAGUUGGAAAAUUUUCCAUUUUGAGAUCUGGGAAAAGAGGUUGAAGUCGAUGAGGUGCCAGGAAUUGGUACCUAGGUGCCUCGGAUCCUGUUUGUGACCAAACUUGCCACACCAGAUGCAGUGCAAGUUAUGGGAAGUGAAUCUUGAGAGAACAGUUCACAACGUGAAUGUGACGAUCAAUACAAUACAAUUGGCUUAAUUUCCACCCUGGAGGAGAUCUUCAGCCAAGACAUCGACACCCCUCACGUUGAGUGCAUGACCAUCUAAAUGCAGAACAAGUUUGAUUACCCUGUUUACAAAGAACUGCUGGCAGUGACACAAAGAAUUCAAUGAUAGUGUCCUAGAGCAUCAAAGAAACUAGGAAAAUAAGCACUGUGAAAACUGAUGAAAUGACAUUAAUUUGAGCUUGGGACAGUCAUUUAACCUCUAUUGGUGAAAAUUUCAUAAUCCUUUUCAUUCAAAUAUCUUGUUGUUCUAAGAAGUUAAAUACAUUUGCAAAAAAUUAACAAUAUCCCAAAGAAUCGACAAAAAAACCCCUCCUGGCACUAAUAAGCAAUUACGGCAAAGUUACAGCAUCCAAGGUUAAUAAAUAAAAGUCAAUCGCUUUCCAAUAUACUGGCAAUGUACAAGUGGAAUUUGAAAUUAAAAACACGAUACCAUUUACAUUAACAACCUCCCUAAUAAAAUACUUAGGUGUAAAUCUAACAAAAGACUUAAAGAUUUAUAUGAGAAAACUACAACAUCCUGAUGAAUGAAAUCAACUAACUAAAUAAAUUGAGAGACAGUCUACAUUCAUGGAUGGGAAGGCUCAAAAGUGUCAAUUUGUCAGGUCUUUCCAACUUGAUCUAUAGAUUCCACACAACCCCCAAUCAAAAUCCCAGCAAGCUAUUUUGUGGAUUGUGACAAAUUGAUCCCGAAGUUUUUAAGGAGAGUCAAAAGACCCAGAAGAAUCAACACAAUAUUGAAGGAGAAGAACAAAAUUGAGGACUGAUGCUACCUGAAUUCAAGAUUUACUAGAAAGCCACAGUAAUCAAGAUGGUGCGGCACUGGUGAAAUAACAGACAGAUCAAUGAAACAAAAUAGAAAGCCCAGGCUCACACAUAGAGUCAACUGUUUUUGACAAAGGAGCAGUAUAAUGGAGCAAAUGUAGCUUUUCCAACAAAUGAUGCUGGAACAGCUGGACACCCACAUACAGAAAAAAAAAAAAAAGAAUCUAGACACAAACCUUACAUGCUUCACAAAAAUCAGAUCAAAAUGGAUCAUAGACCUAAACAUAAAACUCCUAGAAGUUAACAUAGGAGAAAACCUAGAUGACCUUGGGUAUGGGGAUGACUUUUUAGAUACAACACCAAAGGCACAAUCCAUGAAAGAAAGUCUUGAUAGGCUGGAUUUCAUUAAAAUUUAAAACUAUUCUUGUCAGUGAACGCCUGUCACUUUGCAG